AACGCGAAGAACCUUACCAAGGCUUGACAUAUAGCGAAAAGUGGCAGAGAUGUCAUGUCCGCAAGGGCGCUAUACAGGUGGUGCAUGGUUGUCGUCAGCUCGUGUCGUGAGAUGUUGGGUUAAGUCCCGCAACGAGCGCAACCCUCGUUCUGUGUUACCAGCAUUAAGUUGGGGACUCACAGGAGACUGCCGGGGUCAACUCGGAGGAAGGUGGGGAUGACGUCAAAUCAUCAUGCCCCUUAUGUCUUGGGCUGCACGCAUGCUACAAUGGCCGGUACAAAGUGCUGCGAAAUCGUAAGAUUUAGCGAAUCACAUAAAGCCGGUCUCAGUUCGGAUUGAGGUCUGCAACUCGACCUCAUGAAGUCGGAGUUGCUAGUAAUCGUAGAUCAGCAACGCUACGGUGAAUACGUUCCCGGGUCUUGUACACACCG
rnacentral:rRNA from 1 species